CGAAAGACUCCAGGGAAGGAGGGUGCGUAAGGAUCGUCCUCGAUUUCUUUCUACAGCCUCGGAUUUGUUAUCAUUCCUCGAAAGUCAGGAAUAUUUUGUAAGUUUUGUUUUCAUUAAGCAGUUUGCUCAACCACCACAGAUCAGUUUUCUUACGCGUUCGAUCGAUUGUUGAGAUUUUUGUUCUCAUCAAGGAACAACAACACAGUCGAAGCCAUUCUUGUAUUGAUGCACUCUUUGUGCCAAGUGGUGUCUCCAUUUUCACUAAAUGUUUGUCACAUCUCUAAAAUAGGAGCCU